UACGUAGGAGGCAAGCGUUGUCCGGACUGACUGGGCGUAAAGCGCGCGCAGGCGGUGCGGGGCGUCGGUGCUGAAAUCGGGCCGCUUAACGGCCCGCGGCGUGCCGAUACGCCCGUACUGGAGGGUGGGCGAGGGUGGUGGAAUUGCCGGUGUAGUGGUGAAAUGCGUAGAGAUCGGCAGGAACACCCGUGGCGAAAGCGGCCACCUAGCCCAUACCUGACGCUGAUGCGCGACAGCGUGGGGAGCGAACUGG
rnacentral:rRNA from 1 species